CAGUACUUGUGUUAUACUUGC
rnacentral:miRNA from 1 species